rnacentral:sRNA from 2 species
CUACACGGUUUUUUCACAAAACCCCCGCAAAUCUUGUCGGCGUGACCCUUGGCAACAUUUUUUUUGCAGUUCUUGCGCUCUGUCAGUUUACUUACUACAAGUAAUGGGUACUAUGUACGCCGGCCAGUUUCUCUUUUCCGAGAGA